rnacentral:rRNA from 1 species
AUUGAACGCUGGCGGCAUGCCUUACACAUGUAAGUCGAACGGCAGCGGACCUUCGGGUGCCGGCGAGUGGCGAACGGGUGAGUAAUAUAUCGGAACGUACCUUUCAGUGGGGGAUAACGUAGCGAAAGUUACGCUAAUACCGCAUAUUCUGUGAGCAGGAAAGCAGGGGAUCGCAAGACCUUGCGCUGAUUGAGCGGCCGAUAUCAGAUUAGCUAGUUGGUGAGGUAAAGGCUCACCAAGGCGACGAUCUGUAGCGGGUCUGAGAGGAUGAUCCGCCACACUGGAACUGAGACACGGUCCAGACUCCUACGGGAGGCAGCAGUGGGGAAUUUUGGACAAUGGGCGCAAGCCUGAUCCAGCCAUGCCGCGUGAGUGAAGAAGGCCUCGGUUGUAAG